rnacentral:rRNA from 1 species
AUGCAGAGCGGGCCCGCAUCGCCGGCCCCGCCGGAGGACACACCGAUGGCGGCGGCGGCGGCGGUGGUUGAGGUGGAGGUGAUGGAGGAGGCUGACGGGGAGCAGGCGAAGGAGGAUGCUGUGAAGGUGGUGGAGGCGCAGGCGGAGAGGGGAGUGAAGAGGGGGCGGGGGCGACCGCGGCGGCGGCCCCUGGCCGUGGAGGGGAGCGGGGUGGUGAUGGUGAAGCGGGAGCAGCUCGCGCGCUGCAUGACGUGCCAGCUCUGCCACCGCCUGCUCCGCAACGCCACCACCAUCUCCGAGUGCCUUCACACAUUUUGUAGAAAGUGUAUCUAUAAGAAGCUUAAUGAUGAAGAGUGUGACCAUUGUCCAGUAUGUAAAAUUGAUCUCGGCUGCGCUCCAAUUGAGAAGCUUAGGGCCGAUCACAAUAAACAAGACGUGAGGUCAAAAAAUUUCCCAUUGAAAAGAAAUAAGAUCGAUGCUAAAGGAUCUCCAGUUACACUGCCUAUUAAAAGGAAAGAGAGGUCUAUCUCUUCAUUGGUGGUUGACACACCUCGAAUAACAACGGGUUUGACUGGGCGCCGAACAAGAGCCGUUACUAGGAAGGCUGCUGCUGCAUUACGUGGCCUUGGUCCUAUCCUUGAUCCUGUAGAAAGGGAUAAUGGUAGCGCCAAUAAGCAUCCUGAUAAUUUAAGCUUGCUGGACAGCUUGAGCAAAGUGCCUCAAACAAGAAGAAAGGCAUCAUCAAUUGCAGAAACGUCAAGUCAUAACUCUAAUAAAGAUAAAGCAGGUGAUGAUAAGGACUUGGACAAGGCAGAUCUAUGGAAACCUCUAAACUGUCUUGUAGAAGCUGCAAGCAAAACAAAGUCCUUCAGGUCAAGUCCAUCUGUCAAGGGAGAUCAGCCCAAUGGAUCUCCUAGUAGUGAACAUGCUAGCAAAGAGAAGUCUGUGGAGAAUCUACGGAAAACCAGAUUUCAAGAUGACAAGAAAGAUGCUCCACAGCCAGUAAUGCUUAAAAAGAAAGGGACUGGCCGGACGAAGAAUGCAACUUCUGUUGCUGCAGCUAGCCAGAAGGCCCAGAAUAGUAGGGCACUAAACCCUGUAUGGUUCUCAUUGAUUGCCUCGUUUGAGCAGAAAGGCCUCCCACCCUUGCCACAGAUACCUGCCCACUAUUUGAGAAUAAAAGAUGGAAGUAUAGCCGCAUCAUCCAUCCAAAGGUAUAUUAUGCAGAAGCUCAGUCUUNNNNNNNNNNNNNAGGUUGAACUGAGCUGCUGUGGGCAAUCAAUAAACCCCAUACAACCUGUGCACAACCUGAUGGAUAGGUGGCUGAGGGUUGGCCCGUCGCGCCAUUUGCAGACGUCGGUAGGCUCCUCCGGGGGAGAGUAUGUGAUGGUGAUAACCUAUGGGCGGCCAAAGUCUUGA